UCGCUAUAGAGACCAGCAAAAUCAAAAUAGUACUAUAUGAUGGUCCCUAGCCGGCCGUUGUGCCGUGCGUGGACGGAAGCACCUAGAAAGCAAAGCAUGUUUUCGAUCAUCUGGUUCUUGGGGACACGCAUCUCCAGCCGAUAAUCGACAAGAGUAUUCUUUGUGAAUGAGUUGUGAUUGAUAGUCCCGGUCCGCCGGCCGGAACAGAUGCAUCACUUCAUUUCUGCGACUCGUGUCACGUAGCUGUCAACCUCGUUCCGAGAUCCCUAUCAGACGCUUGAAACCCACACACGUGUGCCUACCUACAGGAGCUCGAGUUGCGUGGGUAGCAAGAAGCUAGAAAUCACUCAAUUAUCAGCUAGCAGCUCACAUCGGUACAUGAGAGAGACUUGAGAGAAAAGUGGACUACUGUCAGGAAUUAUGAGCUCAGAUCCAUCGGUACAUGAGAGAGACAAGUGCAUCUCUCGGUGCUGCAUGCCGAAAUGUGCGAUGGUAUGCCCCGCGGGGCAACCAAACUGAUGAGGAAUAGAGAGUCGAUGACGAUGGGGUAGUGAAAUGACUUCUGUAUCUUGGCCAAUGAUGCUCUGGUUAGACUAAGUAUCUACAGCCGGAACCUAUACUGACGAAGUGGAUGGCAGGUGAGUGACCGGUCAUUUUUUACGAUGAAAUCGACCUCCUUGAACAGCACAUAUAUGUGUGAGCUAAUCGGUACUCUUUAUAUCUAGCCUAUAUAUAAGGUGGCUAUGGAGUGGCCCGUUUUCGAUAUUGCGACCCAACAUGCCCUGCACAGACUUUACUUUGUCCCCACUAAAAAUCUCCAUCGAUCCGAGCCCUAGAUUCAUUCUCUCACCCUCCGCUCGGCUCUCCGUCACUUCUCCUCUCCUCUCAGUCCCAAUGUCGAGUCCCAAUUGUUUGAAGUAGAAAGUAAAGAACGAGAGAGUUGAAUGAAAG
rnacentral:lncRNA from 1 species